AGGGUUGGGGAAUUUCCACUUCUGAUUAAAAUGAUGGCAGAGGUGACGACCCUUAACGAUUGGUAAGAUUUGGAGUAGAAUUCACCCUGAGUUUGGUGGGGCUUAUCUGUCAAGGAUGCAAGAGGUACGGAGGUUACGAAGCUCCCACCUGUCGCUCUCCGCCAGACGCCGAGACUGCGGCCGGAGAGUUGCUGCACGGGGAUUGGAGGAAAGAAGCAAUCAGUCUCAGCUAGUCUCCACCUUCCUGACAGCCCCUGGUUGGAGGAGCGGAGCGUCAGUCACUAGGGCGGUCGCCACCUCUGGGACAGGAAAAGUCUGAGAAACUGUCACAGUCAAGAGGAGCCUAAGGAGACAUGAUGACAAAAUGUAAUAUAGUAUCCUGGAUGGAAUACUGGAACAGAAAAAGGACAUGAGGUAGAGAAGAUGGUAAUGGGUUCACUUUAUGUGGUUGGUUUCAGACUGCAAUGGAAAGAACUUAGAUAUGUACAACAUUAUAUGGUAAGUCCUCCAGAAACCCCCAAGAGAAACAUACACAAUAGAAACACAGAUAAAUAUCUUUACUGUAACUGGAAACAAUUUUUUUGAAGAUUUUAUUUAUUUUUGAGAGAGAG